CUCGAGAGGGGGGGGGUUCCUCAGCCCAGAUUGCAAGAGGGCGCAGGCCAGGCCAAGGGACCCCACCAGUGCACG
rnacentral:pre_miRNA from 1 species